rnacentral:lncRNA from 1 species
GAUACCAUACCAGGGCUGUCUCCACAGCUGCGUGCUUUUCAGUUCCCCUCUCCCCAGAACUCUUAACCUUAUUCUCACACUCUGUGAGGUUUCCAUGUUGGCAAGAAAGCUGAAAAAAUGUCAAGCAUACCCAGAUGAGGAGACUUAGAAGAGAUGCUUGUGGCUUUAGCUCAGCUGCCUGGACUACAGCCUUUCUAAGAACCCAACCACUUGGAUUUUGGAUAUAAUACUCAGAGAGUCUCACAUAGGCCCAUAAAGAUUUAUUGCAGCUCUUUUGGAGGGAAUUGGAAGCAAUCAAGGCGUCCAUUGGAGGAAAGGAGAUAAUCAAAAUGCGGUGGAUGAAUACCACAGAGUAUCAUGCAGCCAGUAGAAACAACAGACUGGGCACAGAUAUAACAAGCUGUACAGAGCUAAAAUAAAUGGUACUGAGUGAAAAAAAAAGAAACACAACAUCAAUAUAUAACACAAUAUAUCAAUAUAACACA